rnacentral:rRNA from 1 species
GAGUUUGAUCAUGGCUCAGAUUGAACGCUGGCGGCAUGCCUUACACAUGCAAGUCGAACAGCAGCAUGAUCUAGCUUGCUAGAUUGAUGGCGAGUGGCGAACGGUGAGUAAUACAUCGGAACGUGCCCUGUAGUGGGGGAUAACUAGUCGAAAGAUUAGCUAAUACCGCAUACGACCUGAGGGUGAAAGUGGGGGACCGCAAGGCCUCAUGCUAUAGGAGCGGCCGAUGUCUGAUUAGCUAGUUGGUGGGGUAAAGGCCCACCAAGGCGACGAUCAGUAGCUGGUCUGAGAGGACGAUCAGCCACACUGGGGACUGAGACACGGCCCAGACUCCUACGGGAGGCAGCAGUGGGGAAUUUUGGACAAUGGGCGAAAGCCUGAUCCAGCAAUGCCGCGUGUGUGAAGAAGGCCUCGGUU